GAUGAAGAACGUAGCGAAAUGCGAUAAGUAAUGUGAAUUGCAGAAUUCAGUGAAUCAUCGAGUCUUUGAACGCACAUUGCGCCCCCUGGUAUUCCGGGGGGCAUGCCUGUCCGAGCGUCAUUGCUGCCCUCAAGCACGGCUUGUGUGUUGGGCCCCCGUCCCCGGUUUCCCCCGGGGACGGGCCCGAAAGGCAGCGGCGGCACCGCGUCCGGUCCUCGAGCGUAUGGGGCUUUGUCACCCGCUCUGUAGGCCCGGCCGGCGCCAGCCGACACCCAACUUUAUUUCUAAGGUUGACCUCGGAUCAGGUAGGGAUACCCGCUGAACUUAAGCAUAUCAAUAGCGGAGGA
rnacentral:misc_RNA from 1 species